CGGCUCUGCAUCCACUCAUUGCCAGAUUGUUCUACUGCUAAUGUGGUGUCUCGGUUUUAGGUCGCCCAGUCUCCUGUGUAGUUUCUGAGCGUUUAUUCUCUUGGUUUUACCAGCCCUGUGUUUCCUGUACCUCAGAGUCUCAGCAUCGCCUCACCUUUCAGCUGCUCACCUGAUCUGUUCUUUUCCAUCUCUACAUAGAUGGAGGAUUGACCAAAGGACACGCCGAAAGAUGAGCAAACAUCGGUACACACCCCAACUCCAAGGAGACACAGGCUGAGGUCCACCUUUCACACCGAGUCUCCCUCAUCUCCAGUUUCAGCAGGAAGUAAUUAGAGCUGACGGUUCAUCACAAGUCAAGCCCAUACUUGCCUCAUUUCUCCAUCAUUCUGUCAGACAGCAAUUUCUGUUUCUUUACACUACGGAGUGAAUAAAUACACGUGGUACCUAAUGACUUAGAGUGUCAAAGAACUGAGCACACAAAAUCAAUGUCACUUUGGAACAAACAAUGCAUGGACGUACAAAGGAUGACUUUGAUUCUGUGUAACUCUUCCCUUAAACCUGCUUGUCUUUCAUUAACUCUAGGUAAUGUAUAUUUACUGUCUCUCCCAUCCAUAAUAUCAGUAAGACUGCUACUAGCCCCUGGAGAAUGCAGCGUUCUUUACAUCCUGCAACAUCAAACUGUUGAACAGGACAAACAAAAUUCUGAUGCUGUUGCAUGAAUGUGUUUUGUUUUUUGCUGCUGCUGCUGAUCUUUGGUUUGAAGUGCACCUGCAAACAGGAAGUGGUGAACACAAGUGAUACAGCAUUUAAGGCUCAAACAAUUUGUCAUUUAAUUAUUGAGCUGACUGACAGCCUUUAUUUCAUUUCAUAAAUCGCUUUUUUCUGCAAUAGUUACUCUGAAUCUGCAUCUUUCUGUCAUGUGGGUAAAUUUCCACCUUUCUUUGCC